AGCAGAUGCAAGUACCAUGAGGGAAAGAUGAAAAGGACUUUGAAAAGAGAGUUAAAAGUGCCUGAACUCGCUGAAAGGAAAGCGGAUGGAACCAGUCGUGCUUGGCGAGAUUGUUGCGUGCAAAGGUGACUGCUCACUGCUCGUAGCGUAAGCGCAGCAGCGGGUUUCGAUCUGGUCGCGCGCGAUGCUUCUUGCCUUGUUCGUCAUCGUUGGUUUGGAGGCGCGGACAACUCUUGGGACAUGGUAACUCGCCCACGGGCGAGCGAAUGUGCCUUGCAGAACUCACCUCCAAACUGAUGUCUCUUGUUAGGUUCUGUUGCCGUACGCGGCACGUUCUUGACAAAGCGUGGUGACAGAAUGGUUCUAUUCGACCCGUCUUGAAACACGGACCAAGGAGUCUAACAUAUGUGCAAGUACUUGGGUGGCGGAAACCUAUGUGCGCAAUGAAAAGUGGGAGUCGUCGUAGAGUAGUCGUUCGUUCGACUACUACGACGACGACGGACCCGAACCUAAC
rnacentral:rRNA from 1 species